AUUGAACGCUGGCGGCAUGCCUUACACAUGCAAGUCGAACGGUAACAGGUCUUCGGAUGCUGACGAGUGGCGAACGGGUGAGUAAUACAUCGGAACGUGCCUAGUAGUGGGGGAUAACUACUCGAAAGAGUGGCUAAUACCGCAUGAGAUCUACGGAUGAAAGCAGGGGAUCGCAAGACCUUGUGCUACUAGAGCGGCCGAUGGCAGAUUAGGUAGUUGGUGGGAUAAAAGCUUACCAAGCCGACGAUCUGUAGCUGGUCUGAGAGGACGAUCAGCCACAUUGGGACUGAGACACGGCCCAGACUCCUACGGGAGGCAGCAGUGGGGAAUUUUGGACAAUGGGCGAAAGCCUGAUCCAGCAAUGCCGCGUGCAGGAUGAAGGCCUUCGGGUUGUAAACUGCUUUUGUACGGAACGAAAAGCCCCGGGUUAAUACCCUGAGGUCAUGACGGUACCGUAAGAAUAAGCACCGGCUAACUACGUGCCAGCCGCCGCGGUAA
rnacentral:rRNA from 1 species